rnacentral:rRNA from 1 species
GACUCCGUGAAGCUGGAUUCGCUAGUAAUCGCGCAUCAGCCAUGGCGCGGUGAAUACGUUCCCGGGCCUUGUACACACCGCCCGUCAAGCCAUGGGAGCCGGGGGUGCUUGAAGUGCGUCGCCGCAAGGCGCGCCCUAGAGCAAAACCGGUGACUGGGGCUAAGUCGUAACAAGGUAAC